rnacentral:lncRNA from 1 species
GGGCGGAGGGGGGGGCACUGCGGCUGCGGCGCCCCAAGUGGGAGGGUCGGGGAAGAGGGGCGCGCGGGCUCGCUGGAUCUUACCUAGCAGGUGAGAUCAACCCCUCGGGAGGUUUCUAGCCGAGGCCUUUCCUCCUCCCAUAAAUAUAAAAGCUGGGGGUUUCGGCUUCAGGGUGACAGAGGCCUUAGAGAACAGACCUAAAUUUUUGUGAGGAUUUCCAAGGGACUAAUAGCCAGCCUGCCACCUUGGACGGAGUCCCUGGAUUUGCUACCCUGAGGUACCUCGGAAGAAAGGGGGACGCCCAAGGGCAGUGAUGGCGGGGGUCACGGCCACUCCAAACGCAGAGCGGGGAUCCCCGGAAAGCUUCACGUCUGACACUGUGGGAUUAGCUGCUGAUCAAUUAAGGAGAAAAUGGACACAUCACAUUUUCUCCCUUUUCCCCUGAAAGUCUCAGAGAGCAGAGACUGGAACCCAGGGCUGAGAGCUUUGGAUUGGCGGGGGUGAGAUAUUCUUUAUCACAUUCCCAAGUCUAUUUGUGAUUUUUAAAAAGAUGUUAAGGUUCUACGGAGGACGGCUCAUAAGACCAAAACCCUACUGUGCAAACAUUGGGUGAAAUGUUUGUUUCACACACAGCUUACACACCCACUGAACCACCCUAUAAAUUUUUAACCUUGACCACAGGAUAAGCGGGAGAAAACAAGGAUGGUGCCAGCUGAACCGUAGAGGAAAAUGGGUACUAAGCGAGCAGAGCAGGUCGGGAUCCUGGGUGUAGCUGUAGAACCUCUUAUUCGGGGUACCUUACGGUGUCUCGCCACAAACAAACGCUCCCCCAAAGUUUUUUUUUCGGGGGGGGGUAAAGGUGACCUAUAAACAAGUAGUUUCUCCCUGCUUGCCCAGCUUGGCAUCAAAGACCUACAAAGAUGACAUUUGUCACUGUUUAAUGCAAUCUUAUUUUUCUAGUCCAGUCCGGACCCGUUUGGGUUCUCCGACCCUUACUGCGCCGGGGAGCCUCCUCGGCUCGCAGGCACUGCCGGAUGCUCGCUGGAAACGCCGCAGUCUGGACUCUGGGCAUGCUCGAUGGCCAGGACUGUCUAGGUCGCCUGGGAACGCGCCUCGGCCUAAUGCGGGGGCGGGGCGGGGGCGGGGCUACUUUCCGGGGAAAACAGCUGAUUGGAGGGGCUGCCUGUCCUUCAAAUCCUGCUCAGCAGCUGUUGUGGGGCUGGAGGGUGAGGGUACCAAGAGAACUCUGGGAAAUAAUUGCACAGAGAACAGUACUUCAGAAAGACAAUACUCUGAAAAAAAGAAAGAAAGACAAUACUCUAAACAGACAGUUUCAAAACAUUCGCCGUUCUGGGUAUAAAUAAAGAAUGAAAUAAAUAGAUGAAUGUGGUUGAAGGAAAGAGAGGAGGUGAAAACCACAUGCCACUAUUUAAUUUUUCCAUUUCAAGAAAUCUACUGAUUGGUGAUUUUAGCAGGGCAAGUCCAUAAUUGGCUUUUGUCUGAAAGAUUUGCUAUUUCUUUUUUGUUUGAAAUUUUAUUAAUCUCCUCAGCUAUUCUUAUUUCUUCUUAGUCUUCUUUGGUAGGAGUUGGAAGUAUGGCAAUUUAUUAUCUUAGAUACUCCCAGUCACUCUUUUGGUGAGAAAAGAUCUAGAGAGAAAAUGCUCAGCUGUUUCUUAAAUUCAAAAAGCUAGUGUUUUAUCUAGAGAACAUACCCAGACGAAUGGGCAGAAUUUACACCACUGCGUCAUUUUGUCACCUUAAAUUUUCCUCUUUGUUGUGUAACACAGUCAAAAACUUGGUAACCCAAAAAUAUCCUUAAAUUAUUUCUUCAAAUUAAUCUGCCUAGUUUUUAAAAUGCAUAUUGCAUUUUUUAAAAUGCACAUCAUUUCCAUGGUGUUGGAAAAACUGGAUCUCAACCUGCCAAAGAUUAAAACUAGACGCUUAUCUCUCACCAUGCACUAAAUUAAAAUCCAAGUGGAUUAAAGAUCUGAAUAUUAGAAUAGAAACACUAAACUUGCUGGAAGAUAAAUUAGGCAGAACUCUGGAAGACAUCGAAAUAGAAAAAGACUUUAUGAACAAAUCCUCAGUAGCACAAGAACUAGCAGAAAGAAUCAGAAACUGGGAUCUCAUCUUAUUAAAAAGCUUCUGCACUGCAAAAGAAACCAUCAACAGAACUAAGGACAACCUACAAUGUGGGAAAAAAUUUUCACCAGCUGCUCCUCAGACAAAGGACUAUUAUCUAGAAUAUAUAAAGAACUCAAAACAAUCAGCCCCCCCAAAUAAAAAGACCCAAUUCAAAAAUGGGCAUCUGAAAUGAACAGACAUUUCUCAGAGAAUGAAGUAAAAGCAGCAAGUAAAUAUAUGAAAAAAUGUUCCACAUGACUAGUCAUUCAAGAGAUGCAGAUGAAAACAACACUGAGAUUCCAACUCACCCCACAAAGAAUGGCUGCUAUCAAGAAAUCAACCAAUAACAAAUGUUGGUGGGGUUGUGGGGAGAAAGGAACCCUUCUCCAUCGUUGGUGGGAGUGCUGACUGGUGCAAGCACUAUGGAAAUCAAUAUGGAGAUACCUCAAAGAGCUUGGACUGGAGGUUCCAUUUGACCCAGCCAUCCCUCUGCUGGGUAUCUUUCCAAAAGAAUUAAAAGAAUCAUGCCACAGUGAUACAUGCACACCAAUGUUUAUAGCGGCACAGUUUGUAAUAGCUAAAACUUGGAAACAGCCCAUUUGCUCAUCAGUUGGAAACUGGAUAAAGAAGAUGUGGUUUUUCUAUAAAAUGGAAUACUCCUCAGCCAUAAAGAAUGAGAAAUUAGUGUCAUUCAUAGGAAAAUGGACACAUAUUGAGGAUAUACUCCUAAGUGAAAUAAAUAAGUCGCACAUGUGUAAAUACCAAAUAGUUUCUCUGGUAUGAAAAACUAUAAUAGUACACAAGAUCCUAAUGGGGUAAUUAACAACAUGAAAUAGGAAGAAAGGGGCCAAAGGUGUAGGGGAAAUGGGAAGGGUAGGGGAAAGGGAAUAAGGGAAAAGAAAAAAAUAUGAGAAAAUGAAAAAAAUGGAAAUGAAAUGUUUGUAAAUGGGGAGGGGAGGAGGGUGUGAAGGGAGGGCAGGAACGGGAAAAAAUGAGAACCAAGACCUGUCAUGUAAAGGUACAGAUCACAGUAAUGAAUGUAACUGUACUGUAUACCUAGAAUGUACCAAUAAACUCAAUAAAAAGAAAAAAAAUGCACCUUUCAGUGACAAUGACCGGUGCUUUCUAGUCCGGGUCUGUAGGUAAUGCUAGUUACUUUUCCACAAGACCAAAGCUUCCCUGGUUCAUUCACA